UACGGAGGAUCCAAGCGUUAUCCGGAUUUAUUGGGUUUAAAGGGUGCGUAGGCGGCUUAUUAAGUCAGGGGUGAAAGACGGUGGCUCAACCAUCGCAGUGCCUUUGAUACUGAUGAGCUUGAAUACAUUUGAGGUAGGCGGAAUGUGACAAGUAGCGGUGAAAUGCAUAGAUAUGUCACAGAACACCAAUUGCGAAGGCAGCUUACUAAGGUGCAAUUGACGCUGAGGCACGAAAGCGUGGGGAUCAAACAGG
rnacentral:rRNA from 1 species